UUAAUAUAUGACUGCCCGUACUGUAAACCGACACAGGUGGUCAGGAUGAGAAAUCUAAGGCGGACAGGCUAACUCUCGUUAAGGAACUCUGCAAAAUAACCUCGUAACUUCGGGAGAAGAGGAGCCCUUGAGUGUGAGUAUACACGCGAUACAAAGCGCUCGAGGGUCGCAGUGAAGAGGCUCAAGCAACUGUUUAACAAAAACACAGGUCUAUGCUAAGCUGUAAGGCGAUGUAUAUGGGCUGACACCUGCCCAGUGCUGGAAGGUUAAGAGGAGGAGUGAGAGCUCCGAAUUGAAGCCCCAGUGAACGGCGGCCGUAACUAUAACGGUCCUAAGGUAGCGAAAUUCCUUGUCGGGUAAGUUCCGACCUGCACGAAUGGUGUAAUGAUUUGAGCGCUGUCUUGACGGGAGGCCUGGUGAAAUUGUAUUACCGGUGAAGAUACCGGUUACCUACAGUAGGACGGAAAGACCCCAUGGAGCUUUACUGUAGCUUGGUAUUGGGUUUUGGCAUUGCAUGUAUAGGAUAGUUGGGAGACUAAGAUGAUAUGGCGCUAGCUGUAUAGGAGUCAACGGUGGAAUACCAACCAUUCAAUGCUGAAAUUCUAAUCUGUGGUUUGACGCCACGGAGACAGUGCUAGGUGGGCAGUUUGACUGGGGCGGUCGCCUCCGAAAGAGUAACGGAGGUGUUCAAAGGUUCUCUCAGGUUGGAUGGAAAUCAACCAUAGAGUGCAAUGGCAUAAGAGAGCUUGACUGCAAGACUGACGGGUCGAGCAGAUGCGAAAGCAGGACAUAGUGAUCCGGCGAUUCCGAAUGGAAGGGUCGUCGCUCAACGGAUAAAAGCUACCCUGGGGAUAACAGGCUGAUCCUACCCGAGAGUCCAUAUCGACGGUAGGGUUUGGCACCUCGAUGUCGGCUCAUCGCAUCCUGGGGCUGGAGAAGGUCCCAAGGGUUGGGCUGUUCGCCCAUUAAAGCGGUACGUGAGCUGGGUUCAGAACGUCGUGAGACAGUUCGGUCCCUAUCCACUGUAGGCGUUAGAAUAUUGAGAAGACCUGUCCUUAGUACGAGAGGACCGGGAUGGACAAACCUCUGAUGUACCAGUUGUCACGCCAGUGGCACAGCUGGGUAGUCACGUUUGGAAUAGAUAACCGCUGAAAGCAUCUAAGCGGGAAACUAACUUCAAGAUAAGUAUUCUUUAAGAUACCUUCGAGACAAGGAGGUUGAUAGGUUGGGGGUGUAAGUACAGCAAUGUAUUUAGCUGACCAAUACUAAUUAUCGAA
rnacentral:rRNA from 1 species